UACGGAGGGUGCGAGCGUUGUCCGGAAUCACUGGGCGUAAAGGGCGCGUAGGCGGCUCAUGAAGGCUGUGGUGAAAGUCCGGGGCUCAACCUCGGAUCGGCCGUGGCGACUCGUGGGCUGGAGCACUGUAGAGGCGGGUGGAAUUCCUGGUGUAGCGGUGAAAUGCGCAGAUAUCAGGAAGAACACCCGUGGCGAAAGCGGCUCUCUGGAACGGUACUGACGCUGAGACGCGAAAGCGUGGGGAGCGAACAGG
rnacentral:rRNA from 1 species